rnacentral:rRNA from 1 species
GACGAAGGGGGCUAGCGUUGUUCGGAAUUACUGGGCGUAAAGCGCGUGUAGGCGGUUGUCCAAGUUGGAUGUGAAAGCCUUGAGCUUAACUCAAGAAAUGCAUUCAGGACUGGAUGACUAGAGGACCGGAGAGGAUAGUGGAAUUCCCAGUGUAGUGGUGAAAUACGUAGAGAUUGGGAAGAACACCAGUGGCGAAGGCGGCCCCCUGGUUGGAUACUGACGCUGAGACGCGAAAGCGUGGGGAGCAAACAGG